rnacentral:rRNA from 1 species
UACGGAGGGUGCAAGCGUUAUCCGGAUUCACUGGGUUUAAAGGGUGCGUAGGUGGGUUUGUAAGUCAGUGGUGAAAUCUCUAAGCUUAACUUGGAAACUGCCAUUGAUACUAUAGAUCUUGAAUAUCCUGGAGGUGAACGGAAUAUGUCAUGUAGCGGUGAAAUGCUUAGAUAUGACAUAGAACACCAAUUGCGAAGGCAGUUCACUACGGGAUCAUUGACACUGAGGCACGAAAGCGUGGGGAUCAAACAGG